GACAGCGGAGCAUUCAUAUCUUGGUGAAUCUGCGACCGGAUCGGAGGGUUGAGCUCCUCGGAGAACAGAUAAUGAUGAAAAUCAUCAAGUGUCAGCAGCGGACGAGUCGGCUUCGCGAUCCGAUGCCUCAGCUGCCGGAGCUGAUCAAUCACCUUCUCCGCAUCCGCGACCGUGGCGCCGACCUCCCCCUGCGAGUCGGCCAGAAAGCGGAGGAGCUGAUCCGGCCCCAUGUUCGGC
rnacentral:misc_RNA from 1 species